CCUGAACACCUUUCAUUAAUUCCUCACACUCAGUCACUGGAAGACUGGAAUGUGGUUUGUGUUUCAGAGUGUCAGGAACGAAGACAAGGCUUUUGUGAACGUUUCUCUACAGGAACACGUCCUUUACAACUUUCAAGGUGAUGGAUUGCUUUGCUGCUAAUGGAUCCCCAAAUGAAAUUUUCGCAGGAGGCCUGAAGUGGAUGUGGAGUUUAUUCUGUGAACACUGGUAUCCUGGAGCCAUGAGACACCAUCACGACCUGCAGCAUGGACCUUCUUCUUUAUUAAGAAAAGAUUGAAAGUUGUGCAGAUAUUGGAAAAUAAUCAAUGACAUGCUGGAGUGAUGGAGAAACAGGUUAACAGUGAGAAUGCUGGCUUAAUGGUUAAGAAAUUAAUUAGAAGAUCAAGGUUCAAGCCCCAGUAUUGCCAAGCUGCCUCUUUUGGGCUCUUAACCCAAUCUACCCCAGGGUUCUUCAUCAUAGCUGACCUCAUGCUCUGACCUCUACUUAACAAGCUGGGAUGCCACACCCUGGAGUAUUUAGUUCUUCUUAUAUCGAAGCAACUUUCCAAUAAUGACAAUAAUUUUACCCUGCACUGAUACUACACUGGUGUCGAACACAUCGUUUCAGCUUUAGCUUGCCUGUUUUUGGCCUUUUGAGCUCAUCUGUAAACAAGGAACGUGUUUGAGCUUGACCUCAGUCUAUUAAAAACAGCGUCAGGUAACAGGAUGUUUGUAUGUGCACCUGCUACGAGGCAAUUUCGCUCAUUUUGCUUUGCUUCCUGAUUUUGCCCCCAGAGGCCAGACGCAGAUGGGAGGAAAUUAAUGUGAUCCCUGAGCGGGAGAACACAUCUGUAUCUGUAUGCAUAUUCUGGUUGUUGGUAAUAACUGGCGAGACGGGGCGAGAAUUGGCCUCAGGUCUAGAUUUGAGACGUGAGCGGGAAGACCGUCAUGUCCAGAAAAUUGUCAUUACCCCUUCCAUACAGUGCCUCGCAUUAGCUGGCGGAAAUUGUUUUUGGCCUGCAGCCUGGCCUCAGAAAUAUACACAAUCAAGGCCGAGAUUAUAGGUUCUUUUCACAGCAGGACGUACGUAAAGCAAAUAUCACGAAAUGGCUCGUGUGUUAAAGACGGUGCUGGACAAAAUGUACCCAGUAAUAGAACACAACCAGGACCAAACUGAUGCAUGCUUUAGCCUGAGCCUCAGACCUCCAAAUUUACAUUUGGCAUUUGGCAGACGAAUCCAAAUCAUUCAAACCAUAUGAAAUAAGUACUUAAAUAAUCGGUCCAGCAGUUGGAAGUUAAGUAGCCUUUAUGUAUAUACAUUACUGCACAGUGAAAUACUCUCUUCACAUAUCCCAUCCUUGGAGGGUUGGGGUCAGAGCACAGGGUCAGCCAUGAUGCAGUGCCUAUGGAGCAGGGGUGGGUUGGGAUCCCUGCUCAAGGGCCCAACAGUGGGAGCUUGGUGGUGAACCCCAAUCUUCUGAUCAACAACUCAGAGCCUCAACCACUUGAGCUACCACUGCAUUUCUGGUGACAUGUGACCAAUAUAGUCAGUCUGUCUAUCUAUCUAUCUAUCUAUCUAUCUAUCUAUCUAUCUAUCUAUCUAUCUAUCUAUCUA